rnacentral:snRNA from 1 species
GAUUGAUUCUCUCGACAAAG